AGCGGAUUGGAGCAGUUGGUAGCUCGCUUGGCUCAUUUCCAAGAGGUCACCGGUUCAAGUCCGGUAUCCGCAU
rnacentral:tRNA from 1 species